rnacentral:rRNA from 1 species
GGAUGCGAUCAUACCAGCACUAAUGACACGGAUCCCAUCAGAACUCCGAAGUUAAGCGUGCUUGGGCGAGAGUAGUACUAGGAUGGGUGACCCGGUGGGAAGUCUCGUGUUGCAUCCC